rnacentral:rRNA from 1 species
CCUACGGGAUGCAGCAGUGAGGAAUAUUGGUCAAUGGGAGAGAUCCUGAACCAGCCAAGCCGCGUGAGGGAAGACGGCCCUAUGGAUUGUAAACCUCUUUUGUCGGAGAACAAAACCCGGGACGUGUCCCGUACUGCGUGUAUCCGAAGAAAAAGCAUCGGCUAACUCCGUGCCAGCAGCCGCGGUAAUACGGAGGAUGCGAGCGUUAUCCGGAUUUAUUGGGUUUAAAGGGUGCGUAGGCGGUCCGUUAAGUCAGCGGUAAAAUUGCGGGGCUCAACCCCGUCGAGCCGUUGAAACUGGCUGACUUGAGUGGGCGAGAAGUACGCGGAAGGCGCGGUGUAGCGGUGAAAUGCAUAGAUAUCGCGCAGAACUCCGAUUGCGAAGGCAGCGUACCGGCGCCAGACUGACGCUGAGGCACGAAAGCGUGGGGAUCGAACAGGAUUAGAUACCCGGGUAGUC